CUUGCCAGAUGGCCCCGGAAGAGUCUCAGCUGCCCUGUCAAGUUUAGCUUCUCAAGCUCCCCAGAACCAGCAUGGCAAGGAUCACCCCUCCAGAAAAGGAAAUGAUUUCUCUGAUCAUGAUCAAACCAUGUCAUAAUUUUAGCUGUAGGUGGUGGCUGAUCAGGACAGUAUGAAAUUUCAUACAGUUUCCUAACUUGAGAAAACAUGGUGAUGCAAUUCCUCCAACCAGGAGGGAUUUAUGGACAGCGGUGGCUACGUCCUAAUCUGCCCAGAAUACAGGAUGACUAAACAAAUUGGCAAACGGACGCAGCUUUCUCUCUCUCUAAGAAAAGUCUGCUGAGAACCCUCGUUCCCACUCUGUUUCUGCCUCCAAGAAGAAAAGCCUAAAACUCACUUUCUUCCGGACUCUUUCAAGGAAGCUGAUUAAAAGAAGCUCCUAAACCAGAGGUGCAGACAAGGUGAUGAUGUGGCUCUCAGAGGAAGGUGUGCUACCUACAACCCUGCUGGCUUCAUGGAAGAAUAUGCUUCUCAAAUGCAAAUCCAAUCAAGUUAUCUCCCUGCUUAAAUCCAAACUCGCUCAUGUGGCCCACAAAGCCUACCUUGCCUGCCUCUCUCUAACCUCACCCAAAACACACUUCCAUUGCUCUCUAGGUUCCAGCACCCUGACCUUUUGGUCUGCACUGUGCCAGGCUCCCUCCAGCCCUGAAGCCUUUGCACAUGCUGUUCCUCCUGUCUGGAAAGGCUCUCCCAUCUUGUCUAUUCGUUCUCCAGGCUCAAGUGACUCUUCCUGAGAGCCUUCUCUGACCCCAGUCCAGGUCAAGUUCCUCUGUCACAUGCCUGACCCUGCAUCCCUCCUUGACAGCACUUAUAUCAGCUUGUAACACA